CCUACGGGUGGCAGCAGUGGGGAAUAUUGCGCAAUGGGCGAAAGCCUGACGCAGCGACGCCGCGUGAGGGAUGAAGGUCUUCGGAUCGUAAACCUCUGUCAGCAGGGAAGAACGGUCACGGGGCUAAUCAGCAGUGAAUGGACGGUACCGGCAAAGGAAGCACCGGCUAACGCCGUGCCAGCAGCCGCGGUAAUACGGAGGGUGCGAGCGUUAAGCGGAAUUACUGGGCGUAAAGCGCUCGUAGGCGGUAUGUCAAGUCAAGGGUGAAAUCCCCGCGCUCAACGUGGGAACUGCCUUUGAAACUGGCAAACUGGAGUGUGUGACAGGCUAGUUGCAUUCCAGGUGUAGGCGU
rnacentral:rRNA from 1 species